GAGUUGAUGGCGACCACGCAGGUAAGUCGGCUUCUCGUUUGGGUACGGCAAUCCAGGAGGCGACACAAGACAUGGACAAAGACUCCAGGUGAAUCGAGAGAGAAGGCAAUGGAGGCGGCGUUGGCGAGCUUCCUUGGUGGCCUGAGAUCGAUCGGCGAGAGGAGAGGGAGAGGCCGACAUCGGUGGUGACUGGAACGAGAGAGGGCCCAUGAGGGAUGGUGUUGUUUCCCUCAUCGGAGUGGCGAAGAACAACCAAUCGGGUGACGGCCUUGGAUCGAGGAUGGAUGGAGUCUGAGCAUCAACAAGAGCCGAUGUUGGGUGUCAAGCGGAGGAAUCGUUCUGACAAAGAUAGAUCGAGGGAGAAGCCUUCUCCCCCAUGCGAAGCGACUGGCGGUAGAGUCAAAGGCGAGGGGAAGAAGCGGAUUCCAAGAUUCGUGGAAAGCUCGACGGAUUGAAUCGGGUCACCGGCAGCGACCUCUGUAAUUGCAGAUGCAGAGGUUAGGGAAGAGUGAUCACCUAGCGAAUUAUGGAAGAUAAGUGACCAGUUUGCAAUACCUGUAAAGUUGGAGGUGUUAGACUGAACUGUUCUUCCUGGAAAUUAGAAUGACUGGAUUGCGUUCUCUAUUUGUUAGGGAUGGAACCUUGCAAGGAUCAGAAGUCUGAGGAUUGAACUGGACAUUUGGCCAGCUGGGCAUCCAAAUGACAGAAUCUCCCCUGCAAGUUUCAGCAAGUUACAAUAAAGUAAUUGGAGCAUAACUUAGUCGUUUGACCUCCAAACGACGCAUCGUCAGAAGCUGUGGUUUCGUGGAAGUAAGGGGGAUCAUCUUUGAUAAAAUUCUGAGAUGUCAGCUCAUCUAUGAGGUGGGAUGGUUUAAGGGGGUAAUAUCUUGUCGUUGCAGUAGGUUAGAUUAAGUUAGUUAAUUUGAUGCAUUUCGUCUAUGCCAUGAUUCCAUGCUUGAGUGUUUAUUUGUGACAUAUUAUUACUU
rnacentral:lncRNA from 1 species